rnacentral:rRNA from 1 species
UACGUAGGGGGCUAGCGUUGUCCGGAUUUAUUGGGCGUAAAGAGCGUGUAGGCGGCCCGGUAAGUCCGCUGUGAAAGUCGGGGGCUCAACCCUCGAAUGCCGGUGGAUACUGUCGGGCUAGAGUGCGGGAGAGGCGAGUGGAAUUCCUGGUGUAGCGGUGAAAUGCGCAGAUAUCAGGAGGAACACCAAUUGCGAAGGCAGCUCGCUGGAACGUAACUGACGCUGAGACGCGAAAGCGUGGGGGAGCAAACAGG